rnacentral:tRNA from 1 species
GCGGUGUUGGAGCAGCAGGUCGACUCGGCCACGGUGCCGUCGUCGAGCAGCCGGUGGUAGUAGCCGGGCACGAUCUUGUCGAGCACGCUCCA